rnacentral:rRNA from 1 species
AUUGAACGCUGGCGGCAGGCCUAACACAUGCAAGUCGAGCGGAUGAAGGGAGCUUGCUCCUGGAUUCAGCGGCGGACGGGUGAGUAAUGCCUAGGAAUCUGCCUGGUAGUGGGGGAUAACGUCCGGAAACGGGCGCUAAUACCGCAUACGGCCUGAGGGAGAAAGUGGGGGAUCUUCGGACCUCACGCUAUCAGAUGAGCCUAGGUCGGAUUAGCUAGUUGGUGGGGUAAAGGCCUACCAAGGCGACGAUCCGUAACUGGUCGGAGAGGAUGAUCAGUCACACUGGAACUGAGACGCGGUCCAGACUCCUAAGAGAGGCAUGAGUGUGGAAUAUUGGGCAAUGGGCGAAAGCAUCGUCCAGCCAUGACGAGUGUGUGAAGAAGGUCUUCGGAUUUUAAAGCACUUUAAGUUGGGAGAAAGGGCAGUACGUUGAUACCUUGCUGUUUUGACGUUACCAACAGAAUAAGCACCGGCUAACUUCGUG